rnacentral:rRNA from 1 species
UACGUAGGGUGCGAGCGUUGUCCGGAAUUAUUGGGCGUAAAGGGCUCGUAGGCGGUCUGUCGCGUCGGGAGUGAAAACUCAGGGCUUAACCCUGAGCCUGCUUCCGAUACGGGCAGACUAGAGGUAUGCAGGGGAGAACGGAAUUCCUGGUGUAGCGGUGGAAUGCGCAGAUAUCAGGAGGAACACCGGUGGCGAAGGCGGUUCUCUGGGCAUUACCUGACGCUGAGGAGCGAAAGCGUGGGGAGCGAACAGG